rnacentral:rRNA from 1 species
GAUGAACGCUGACAGAAUGCUUAACACAUGCAAGUCUACUUGAUCCUUCGGGUGAUGGUGGCGGACGGGUGAGUAACGCGUAAAGAACUUGCCCUGCAGUCUAGGACAACAUUUGGAAACGAAUGCUAAUACCGGAUAUUAUGUGAGUUUCGCAUGAAAUUCAUAUGAAAGCUAUAUGCGCUGCAGGAGAGCUUUGCGUCCUAUUAGCUAGUUGGUGAGGUAACGGCUCACCAAGGCGAUGAUAGGUAGCCGGCCUGAGAGGGUGAACGGCCACAAGGGGACUGAGACACGGCCCUUACUCCUACGGGAGGCAGCAGUGGGGAAUAUUGGACAAUGGACCAAAAGUCUGAUCCAGCAAUUCUGUGUGCACGAUGAAGUUUUUCGGAAUGUAAAGUGCUUUCAGUUGGGACGAAGUAAGUGACGGUACCAACAGAAGAAGCGACGGCUAAAUACGUGCCAGCAGCCGCGGUAAUACGUAUGUCGCAAGCGUUAUCCGGAUUUAUUGGGCGUAAAGCGCGUCUAGGCGGUUUGGUAAGUCUGAUGUGAAAAUGCGGGGCUCAACUCCGUAUUGCGUUGGAAACUGCCAAACUAGAGUACUGGAGAGGUGGGCGGAACUACAAGUGUAGAGGUGAAAUUCGUAGAUAUUUGUAGGAAUGCCGAUGGGGAAGCCAGCCCACUGGACAGAUACUGACGCUAAAGUGCGAAAGCGUGGGUAGCAAACAGG